rnacentral:lncRNA from 1 species
UACAGAAUUGUAGGCUAGAGUCUUGAAAGUAUUUAAAAAAAAAAGAAACCUGGUAAAACAUAUCUUAUUCCAAACAGCAAUUAAAUUGGUUAUUACAAAAUACUGAUAUUUGGCCUAUCACAUAUACAAAUUUUUCAGGCAAAGUUGGUAAUUUUACUCUUUGCAUGCUUUUGUAUUUCCUAUAAAUUUGUGCAUGCAACCCAUAGAAAAUGAGCUUACUGUAUUAUAGGUGGUUCAUCUAAUGAAAAGGCUACAUGUAUGAUUGGAUCACUUGUUUAUUCUCUUCAGUUUCCCCUGCUUCAGCACAGAUUAUUAAAUUACGUACUGUAGCUACUGUUUUUAAAAUUAAAAAAAAUCAAGCUUUCAAUUCAUAUACUGAUAGCCAAUGUAUGGCUUAUGGUUUACAGUUGAUUAAAAAGUUUCCCUUUUUAGAUACUACUAGCCCUCAAAUUUUACAAUUACUUAAUGCUUUAUUAGAGGCAGGUUUUUCUACUUAAAAUCAACAACUAAAUUAAACCAUAAACUCAUACCCAGCUCUUUAAAAAUGGUAAUGGAGUUGAUAACAUACACUUAUGAAAAGAGGAAGACUCCAUUUGCUUACUUUCAAUUCCCAGCCUAACCCUGCCAGCUCAGGGAUUUCUAGUAUGACUGAAUCUGGACAAUACCCCUUAGCAAGAGAGGACAAUGAUACCAGGCAGAUUAUAGGCCUUAUAUAGAAACAGUUAGUCAAAAAAUCUCAUUCUUUAUAUAUCCAAAACAAUAAUGCUGGAGACAAUAAUUUGAUAUAAAAGCCAAUUUAUAAAUACAAGUGCUCAGUGUCCUCAAUUUAAUCCUCAAGGACCUAUCUUAAUAAAUAAUAUUUUAACAAUAUUUUAAUAAAUAAAAAAGGGGAGUUAUCCCUGUAUGCUAAAAUAUGCUCCUUUUAUUUCAGUUUUAAAAUUUGAAUGCCAAGGAACACUCUGAGUUUAUGGCACACUACAACUAGGCAUACUUCUGCCUAGGUGAAAUAGAAAGAUCCACAUAUUGGCAUGAUCCUGUUCAGAUAUUUUAUAUGGGGAAGAGGGAAUCUUUGUGUUUUUUCUACAGGAUGCUACAAGAGUAUGCCAGCUGCCAGAGGUGGUUGCUGAGACUUGCUGAUCCUGGGAGCAUGAAGAUUCAGCUCUCCUGGUUCGGGUCCCUGGAGUCAUUCCUGUGUCCUUGGAGGAAUAUGGAGGAUUCCCACUCAUCUUUUUUCAUCACAGAAAUUCUGGCGUUGCUGCAGUCAUUGUGUCCCGUCCCACCUCGGCCUGCGCUCCGACCCUCUGUGCACUGCUGCUUGCUGGAAGCUGCUGUGGACUGGGGAACUCUGCCCUGGUUUUGCAGAUCUCAGACAUGGUUCCCUUGCCUGCUGGUUGUUCCAGAGAAGGAUGGCCGAUCCUGAACUGUCCUGGGAAAGACCUUGGCACUUUCGCUGCUAUUGUAGCAGCCAUUACUGCUGCGGCCAUUGUGUCUGCAGUGUCUGGAGUUACCCUCCCCCAAUCUAUUGUUAGGCAAGCACAGUGGGUGAACUUUCUGGAGCAGUUGCUAACAAUUGGGAAUUCUAAAUUUUAUUACAGGAGAGGCUUGACUAGGCCCUUGGUGGUAUGGCCAUAGCAGCUGAGGAGAACCAGAUGAGGUGCCCACUACUUAUCGGGAGAGGCUCAAUUAUUUCCACAAUCUCUUAUAUUAAUGCCAUCUGGCUCCUACUCUUUCGCCCCUGGGCUCAAGUAAGAGGAAUGAGAAGAUGAUCCAAUGUAGCUAUCCUCAGGGAUGGGCAACUUCCUCUGAUCCUUGACCAAUCUAAGACAUGGUGCCUUGCGGGCGACAAGGUGAUCCUAUGACGGAUAAGGCUGGGGUUCGAGAGGUCGAUCCUAAGACAGAGGUGGCUACACCCCGUUUAAACGUGCGGGCCGGUCAAAUGCUCCUCUGCCCAGUUUCUCCCUCAAAUAACACACACGUAUAGCCCAGAACGGUGUGUUACAGUGUAAGUUCAUUCCUAGCCAUUGGGGUGCAGUCCUAACUGCAAGAGUGGCUCGCCAUGGCCGAGCUGGGCACUCUGUGAGGCAUGUCUAAUCUCUCUUAGACCACUACUUCCACCUAAUGGUCUUUUAUAAAAGAAAAAUGGGGGAGAUGCACGGAGCCAUAUUGGAUUUGGGCCUAGCCGCUUUUUGAACUGCUUGGCUCAAAGUGGCUAGGUGACUCUGGGCUGUUUGGCCACAGAGACUCACCCCUAAGAUGACUGCCUUAAGUCUUAAGAUUGUUGGACAAAAGCCUCUCCCAUGAAUUUACAGCACAGGAAGAUAACAUUCAAGGGAUGCCUCAGCUCGAGCAGAUACCAGUUAUCUCCUCAGUCAACACCCAGUGUCUCCACCACCUGACCUCAUCGCCUGACUUCUUUGCCUCCAGCUAUCACUGCCUAUACCCUCAUCUCCCCCUCCUUCAUGUUUCACAAAGGUCACUCCCCCUACCUGAAAGCCUUAAAAGC